rnacentral:piRNA from 1 species
UGUUAUGGGCCACCGCUCUUGCCAGAGA